CUUUUUUUUCAAACAUAGCUUUAGGAAUUAAUCUAAGGUUAAACCUGCUCAGUGUAUAAGUUCAUAAACAUAAAUAUAAAUAGCCGCGGUACUUUGACCGUGCUAAGGUAGCGCAAUAAGUUGGCUUUUAAUUGGAGUCAGGUAUGAAUGGAAUUACGGAAUUUAACUGUCUCUAAACUAAUUUUUUGAAAUUACUAUAUAGGUGAAAAAGCCUAUGUAAAUAAAAUAGACGAGAAGACCCUUAGAGUUUUAUUUAGUGUAAGUUAUUCUUAUAAUAAUUUAGUUGGGGCAACUUAGGAACAAGUAAAAUUAAGAACUUCCUAAAAUAUAAUUAUUUAUCGACUUUAGUAAAUUUACAUAAACUACCUUAGGGAUAACAGCAUAAUUUAUUAUAUAAGUUUGUGACCUCGAUGUUGGACUAGGAAAUUAAAGGGCUAGCCGCUUUUUAAGAAGGUUCUGUUCGAACUAUUGAUCCUACAUG
rnacentral:rRNA from 1 species